rnacentral:rRNA from 2 species
ACUUAAAUUGAAGAGUUUGAUCAUGGCUCAGAUUGAACGCUGGCGGCAGGCCUAACACAUGCAAGUCGAGCGGUAGCACAGAGAGCUUGCUCUCGGGUGACGAGCGGCGGACGGGUGAGUAAUGUCUGGGAAACUGCCUGAUGGAGGGGGAUAACUACUGGAAACGGUAGCUAAUACCGCAUAAUGUCGCAAGACCAAAGUGGGGGACCUUCGGGCCUCAUGCCAUCAGAUGUGCCCAGAUGGGAUUAGCUAGUAGGUGGGGUAACGGCUCACCUAGGCGACGAUCCCUAGCUGGUCUGAGAGGAUGACCAGCCACACUGGAACUGAGACACGGUCCAGACUCCUACGGGAGGCAGCAGUGGGGAAUAUUGCACAAUGGGCGCAAGCCUGAUGCAGCCAUGCCGCGUGUGUGAAGAAGGCCUUCGGGUUGUAAAGCACUUUCAGCGGGGAGGAAGGCGUUAAGGUUAAUAACCUUGGCGAUUGACGUUACCCGCAGAAGAAGCACCGGCUAACUCCGUGCCAGCAGCCGCGGUAAUACGGAGGGUGCAAGCGUUAAUCGGAAUUACUGGGCGUAAAGCGCACGCAGGCGGUCUGUCAAGUCGGAUGUGAAAUCCCCGGGCUCAACCUGGGAACUGCAUUCGAAACUGGCAGGCUAGAGUCUUGUAGAGGGGGGUAGAAUUCCAGGUGUAGCGGUGAAAUGCGUAGAGAUCUGGAGGAAUACCGGUGGCGAAGGCGGCCCCCUGGACAAAGACUGACGCUCAGGUGCGAAAGCGUGGGGAGCAAACAGGAUUAGAUACCCUGGUAGUCCACGCCGUAAACGAUGUCGAUUUGGAGGUUGUGCCCUUGAGGCGUGGCUUCCGGAGCUAACGCGUUAAAUCGACCGCCUGGGGAGUACGGCCGCAAGGUUAAAACUCAAAUGAAUUGACGGGGGCCCGCACAAGCGGUGGAGCAUGUGGUUUAAUUCGAUGCAACGCGAAGAACCUUACCUGGUCUUGACAUCCACAGAACUUUCCAGAGAUGGAUUGGUGCCUUCGGGAACUGUGAGACAGGUGCUGCAUGGCUGUCGUCAGCUCGUGUUGUGAAAUGUUGGGUUAAGUCCCGCAACGAGCGCAACCCUUAUCCUUUGUUGCCAGCGGUUCGGCCGGGAACUCAAAGGAGACUGCCAGUGAUAAACUGGAGGAAGGUGGGGAUGACGUCAAGUCAUCAUGGCCCUUACGACCAGGGCUACACACGUGCUACAAUGGCAUAUACAAAGAGAAGCGACCUCGCGAGAGCAAGCGGACCUCAUAAAGUAUGUCGUAGUCCGGAUUGGAGUCUGCAACUCGACUCCAUGAAGUCGGAAUCGCUAGUAAUCGUAGAUCAGAAUGCUACGGUGAAUACGUUCCCGGGCCUUGUACACACCGCCCGUCACACCAUGGGAGUGGGUUGCAAAAGAAGUAGGUAGCUUAACCUUCGGGAGGGCGCUUACCACUUUGUGAUUCAUGACUGGGGUGAAGUCGUAACAAGGUAACCGUAGGGGAACCUGCGGUUGGAUCACCUCCUUACCUUAAAGAA